UGGAAAUAUAAAAAAGUGAUAAAUUUGUAGGAUUUUAGGGUAUAAUGAUUUGGAAUCAGAGAAAACAUGAUUUUCUUGUUUUUGAUUUUAGAACACAAAAUAAGAAUACUGAUUUGAAUUUUAUUUUCAAAACCAUAUUACUAAUCACUUAUUCUUGUAGGUCUCACUAUUUUCAAGUUUUUAAAAUGAUAAAAUUGGAUUCGUAUACUAUACCAAUCAAACCCUAAAUCAAAAUCUUUUUUCUUAGAAUGCAUAUCCUCCCUCUAGUGUACAUCGAGAAAUCAUCGCAUUUGGUGCCUUCGUCCCCAACUCUGGCCAAACCUGCCUCCGCAUUGGUACAACUUCGUCCCUAACUCUGACUCUGGCCAAAUCUACCUCUGCAUUGGUGCAUAUUCGUACCUGACUCCGAACAGUUCUGCCUCUGUUUGACAUCCUUUGUCCCCAAAUUGGCCUCCGCCUCUAGCGCCCUUCGUCCCCAACAACGACCCCAGAUUUGCCUCCACUCGUUGCCUUUUUUCCUAAACCUCGACCUAUCGGCCUUUACAUCGACACCCUUUGUCCCCAACCCCAGCAAGAUCCACCUCUAGCGCCCUUCAUCCUUAACCCUAGCAAGAUCUGCCUUUAGCGCCCUUCAUCCUCAACACCAGCAAGAUCCGCCUCUACAUCAACGCCCUUUGUCCCCAACCCCGACCUCAGAUUGGCCUCUACCUCCAGCACCCUUCAUCCUCAUCCUUGGCCACAUCUGCCUCUGCAUCAAUGUCGUUCAUCCCCAACCCAGGCCCAAGAUCUAGUGCAAGUGGUCCAGCGCACAACUCACCCAGCCUCAUCUCUUGCUUUGGGUGGAUCUGGGAAUGGGUCAUAUCUGUUUUUUCUUUGGACAUUUUGGUAGCUAUAAGUCUGCGUUGGUUAUUGAGUUAGAGUGUAUAUGAAAGGAUUGAUUGUUGAGUCUGUUUGAUGAACAUAUAUAGUUGAGUAUUGAUAUAUGUAUUUCACUGUUAAUUUUUUUCUUUGUUAUUUUUGGGUAUAAAUAUAAGUUUGUGUAGGGCACCAAAAAAAAUUAUUAUUUUAAUAGUUUUUUUUUAAAAUUAAUUGUUAAGUGUUAGAAUUUUAUUUUCAUUGUUUGGUAGAAAUUAUGUGAAUUUAAUGUUGUUAAUAUUUUUACUUAAUUAUUAUAUUUUAAGAGCUUUCUUGAGUUUUGGUUAGCUGCACUAAUGUGCAUGGUUAGUAGAGAAGCACUAGAGUGCUUGUGUGUGUAUGCAUGCGCAUGGUAUGCAUGGUGAACAUGCAUUAGUUUCCAUGCAUAUUUUUCUAUUGAUUAUUUAUUUAUUUUGUUUAAUUAAUUUAGAAAGAAAAAAAAAGGAAAUAAUAGGAGGAAUUAUACAUGAAUAUUUUUUGAAGAUAUGUGUUUAUUAGAGGAUUUGGGAUUUAAUAGGAAAAAAAAAAGAAGCAAGAGGAAGAGGAGAGAGAGGGUAAACGUGUGGCAUGAAGGAGAGAAGUCAAGGGAAAUUGUUUCCUUAUGUAGUUGAUAGACAUCUUUUAUAUUGAUUUUCUUGUAUUUUCUUUUAUUAAAAUAUCAAGGAUAAAGGGGAAUUAAAUUGAGGAGUUUCUCUUUCCCAUUGGAGCAUAGGAUUUCAAGUCUUUAAAUAGAAAUAGGAAGAGCUUGGGAGCUCCUGUUGGUGGCCGACUCCAUAGAGGAGGAGGAUAGAGAGAGGCUUGGCUAGAGAGAGUGAGAGAGCACGAGCAGAGGAGAAUGAAGAAGAAGAAGAAGGAGAAGGAGAAUAGGAGGGGUUCAAAAUCUUGAUAGGUGCCAAAAAGUGAAUCAACUUUGUGAGUUUGAUUACUAUCAAAUGAGGUUACUCAGCAUGAGACAAUCCUAGGAGGCAAGUCAAUGGGAAAGUCACAACGAGAUCCAUACUUGAUUCGGAGUGAGUCAAGGAGUAUUUAGCACAUUACCGGGAUAUUGGGUAAUGGUGAUUAGUGCUCAAAAAUGCAAAUUUAUUGGUUUUAAAGUGUAAAAUAAAUUAAUUUUUAAUUAAUAUUUUUAUGAAUUUAUUGUAAUGUAUUUUACAAUUGAAAAUAUUAAUUUGUGUUUAA